rnacentral:rRNA from 1 species
CUUCGGGGUGGGGACAGCGGCGGACGGGUGAGUAACGCGUGGGAAUUUACCCUGGAGUGGGGGACAACAGCUGGAAACGGCUGCUAAUACCGCAUACGCCCUGAGGGGGAAAGGCUUCGGCCGCUCUAGGAUGAGCCCGCGUCGGAUUAGCUAGUUGGUAGGGUAACGGCCUACCAAGGCGACGAUCCGUAGCUGGUCUGAGAGGAUGACCAGCCACACUGGGACUGAGACACGGCCCAGACUCC